GUCUUGGACAUAGCUCAGUUGGUUAGAGCACUGUGCUGAUAAUGCCAACAUUGCGGGUUUGAUCCCUGCAUGGGACA